rnacentral:rRNA from 1 species
GAUUGUAGCCUGAAAUUCGGCUGCAUGAAUAAGAAAUUGCUAGUAAUCGUGAAUCACCAUGUCACGGUGAAUA